GAUGAACGCUGGCGGCGUGCCUAAUACAUGCAAGUCGAGCGAACGGACGAGAAGCUUGCUUCUCUGAUGUUAGCGGCGGACGGGUGAGUAACACGUGGAUAACCUACCUAUAAGACUGGGAUAACUUCGGGAAACCGGAGCUAAUACCGGAUAAUAUUUUGAACCGCAUGGUUCAAAAGUGAAAGACGGUCUUGCUGUCACUUAUAGAUGGAUCCGCGCUGCAUUAGCUAGUUGGUAAGGUAACGGCUUACCAAGGCAACGAUGCAUAGCCGACCUGAGAGGGUGAUCGGCCACACUGGAAUUGAGACACGGUCCAGACUCCUACGGGAGGCAGCAGUAGGGAAUCUUCCGCAAUGGGCGAAAGCCUGACGGAGCAACGCCGCGUGAGUGAUGAAGGUCUUCGGAUCGUAAAACUCUGUUAUUAGGGAAGAACAUAUGUGUAAGUAACUGUGCACAUCUUGACGGUACCUAAUCAGAAAGCCACGGCUAACUACGU
rnacentral:rRNA from 1 species